UACGUAGGGGGCAAGCGUUGUCCGGAUUUAUUGGGCGUAAAGAGCGUGUAGGCGGCCUAGUAGGUCAGCUGUGAAAACUCGAGGCUCAACCUCGAGCUGUCGGUUGAAACCACUAGGCUAGAGUCCGGAAGAGGAGAAUGGAAUUCCCGGUGUAGCGGUGAAAUGCGCAGAUAUCGGGAGGAACACCAAUGGCGAAGGCAGCUCGCUGGGACGGUACUGACGCUGAGGCGCGAAAGCCAGGGGAGCAAACGGG
rnacentral:rRNA from 1 species